rnacentral:rRNA from 1 species
UUUUCAGACCAUCCAGCAGCACUAAAGCACCGGAUCCCAUCAGAACUCUGAAGUUAAACGUGUUUGGGCGAGAGUGGUAUUAGAUGGGUGACCUCCUGAGAGUUCCUCGUGUUGAAUAU